rnacentral:rRNA from 1 species
UGCUUACCUGCAGUCGAGCGGUAAGGCCCUUUCGGGGGUACACGAGCGGCGAACGGGUGAGUAACACGUGGGUGAUCUGCCCUGCACUCUGGGAUAAGCCCGGGAAACUGGGUCUAAUACCGGAUAGGACCGCGCAUCGCAUGGUGUGUGGUGGAAAGGGUUUCUGGUGCAGGAUGGGCCCGCGGCCUAUCAGCUUGUUGGUGGGGUAAUGGCCUACCAAGGCGACGACGGGUAGCCGGCCUGAGAGGGCGACCGGCCACACUGGGACUGAGACACGGCCCAGACUCCUACGGGAGGCAGCAGUGGGGAAUAUUGCACAAUGGGCGAAAGCCUGAUGCAGCGACGCCGCGUGAGGGAUGACGGCCUUCGGGUUGUAAACCUCUUUCAGCAGGGACGAAGCGCGAGUGACGGUACCUGCAGAAGAAGCACCGGCCAACUACGUGCCAGCAGCCGCGGUAAUACGUAGGGUGCGAGCGUUGUCCGGAAUUACUGGGCGUAAAGAGCUCGUAGGCGGUUUGUCGCGUCGUCUGUGAAAACCCGCAGCUCAACUGCGGGCUUGCAGGCGAUACGGGCAGACUCGAGUACUGCAGGGGAGACUGGAAUUCCUGGUGUAGCGGUGAAAUGCGCAGAUAUCAGGAGGAACACCGGUGGCGAAGGCGGGUCUCUGGGCAGUAACUGACGCUGAGGAGCGAAAGCGUGGGUAGCGAACAGGAUUAGAUACCCUGGUAGUCCACGCCGUAAACGGUGGGCGCUAGGUGUGGGUUUCCUUCCACGGGAUCCGUGCCGUAGCUAACGCAUUAAGCGCCCCGCCUGGGGAGUACGGCCGCAAGGCUAAAACUCAAAGGAAUUGACGGGGGCCCGCACAAGCGGCGGAGCAUGUGGAUUAAUUCGAUGCAACGCGAAGAACCUUACCUGGGUUUGACAUGUACCGGAAACACCCAGAGAUGGGUGCCCCCUUGUGGUCGGUAUACAGGUGGUGCAUGGCUGUCGUCAGCUCGUGUCGUGAGAUGUUGGGUUAAGUCCCGCAACGAGCGCAACCCUUGUCCUGUGUUGCCAGCGCGUAAUGGCGGGGACUCGCAGGAGACUGCCGGGGUCAACUCGGAGGAAGGUGGGGAUGACGUCAAGUCAUCAUGCCCCUUAUGUCCAGGGCUUCACACAUGCUACAAUGGCCGGUACAGAGGGCUGCGAUGCCGUGAGGUGGAGCGAAUCCCUUAAAGCCGGUCUCAGUUCGGAUCGGGGUCUGCAACUCGACCCCGUGAAGUCGGAGUCGCUAGUAAUCGCAGAUCAGCAACGCUGCGGUGAAUACGUUCCCGGGCCUUGUACACACCGCCCGUCACGUCAUGAAAGUCGGUAACACCCGAAGCCGGUGGCCCAACCCCUCGGGGAGGGAGCCGUCGAAGGUGCAUCGC